CUGCCCUUCUCAUCGGAAUAAGCGUUGGAAACGACGUCUAAUGCCGAAUACGACCUCUGAUCGCAUGAUCGGAGGUGGAAAGCUCCGGCGGAGAAGGAUGAGCUCGCGGCCUAUCAGCUAGUUGGUGAGGUAACGGCUCACCAAGGCGACGACGGGUAGCCGGCCUGAGAGGGUGACCGGCCACACUGGGACUGAAACACGGCCCAGACUCCUACGGGAGGCAGCAGUGGGGAAUAUUGGACAAUGGGCGAAAGCCUGAUCCAGCAACGCCGCGUGAGGGAUGACGGCCUUCGGGUUGUAAACCUCUUUCAGCAGGGACGAAGCGAAAGUGACGGUACCUGCAAAAAAAGGACCGGCCAACUACGUGCCAGCAGCCGCGGUAAUACGUAGGGUCCGAGCGUUGUCCGGAAUUAUUGGGCGUAAAGGGCUCGUAGGCGGUCUGUCGCGUCGGGAGUGAAAACUCAGGGGCUUAACCCUGAGCGUGCUUCCGAUACGGGCAGACUAGAGGUAUGCAGGGGAGAACGGAAUUCCUGGUGUAGCGGUGGAAUGCGCAGAUAUCAGGAGGAACACCGGUGGCGAAGGCGGUUCUCUGGGCAUGACCUGACGCUGAGGAGCGAAAGCAUGGGGAGCGAACAGGAUUAGAUACCCUGGUAGUCCAUGCCGUAAACGUUGGGCGCUAGGUGUGGGGUCCUUCCACGGACUCCGUGCCGCAGUUAACGCAUUAAGCGCCCCGCCUGGGGAGUACGGCCGCAAGGCUAAAAACUCAAAGGAAUUGACGGGGGCCCCGCACAAGCGGCGGAGCAUGCUGAUUAAUUCGAUGCAACGCGAAGAACCUUACCUGGGUUUGACAUAUACCGGAAAGCUGCAGAGAUGUAGCCCCCCUUGUGGUCGGUAUACAGGUGGUGCAUGGCUGUCGUCAGCUCGUGUCGUGAGAUGUUGGGUUAAGUCCCGCAACGAGCGCAACCCUCGUCCUAUGUUGCCAGCACGUGAUGGUGGGGACUCAUAGGAGACUGCCGGGGUCAACUCGGAGGAAGGUGGGGAUGACGUCAAGUCUUCAUGCCCCUUAUGCCCAGGGCUUCAAGCAUGCUACAAUGGCCGGUACAAUGGGCUGCGAAACCGCAAGGUGGAGCGAAUCCCAAAAAGCCGGUCUCAGUUCGGAUUGGGGUCUGCAACUCGACCCCAUGAAGUCGGAGUCGCUAGUAAUCGCAGAUCAGCAACGCUGCGGUGAAUACGUUCCCGGGCCUUGUACACACCGCCUCGUCGCGUCAUGAAAGUCGGCAACACCCGA
rnacentral:rRNA from 1 species